rnacentral:rRNA from 1 species
CAAUAGCGUAUAUUAAAGUUGUUGCAGUUAAAAAGCUCGUAGUUGGAUUUCUGGUGGGAGCGAUCGGUCUGGCGCUUAGCGCGAGUACUUGCAUCGUCUCCGGCCAUCCUUGGGGAGAGUCUGUCUGGCAUUAGGUUGUCGGGCAGAGGAUCCUCAUCGUUUACUGUGAAAAAAUUAGAGUGUUCAAAGCAGGCUUAUGCCGUUGAAUAUAUUAGCAUGGAAUAAUAAGAUAGGACUUUGGUACUAUUUUGUUGGUUUGCGCACCAAAGUAAUGAUUAAUAGGGACAGUUGGGGGUAAUCGUAUUCCGUUGUCAGAGGUGAAAUUCUUGGAUUUACGGAAGACGAACUACUGCGAAAGCAUUUACCAAGGAUGUUUUCAUUAA